UACGGGGGGAGCAAGCGUUGUUCGGAUUUACUGGGCGUAAGGGCGCGUAGGCGGCCACCGCAAGUCGACUGUGAAAUCUCCGGGCUUAACUCGGAAAGGUCAGCCGAUACUGCGGGGCUAGAGUGCAGAAGGGGCAACUGGAAUUCUCGGUGUAGCGGUGAAAUGCGUAGAUAUCGAGAGGAACACCUGCGGCGAAGGCGGGUUGCUGGGCCGACACUGACGCUGAUGCGCGAAAGCCAGGGGAGCGAACGGG
rnacentral:rRNA from 1 species